rnacentral:tRNA from 1 species
GGGGAGGUAGACCGUAACGAGUAGCGGGCCUGUCUGUAAAACAGGUGUCUUAGACCCACUAGGUGCAAGUCCUAGGCUCCCCACCA